AGGGAAGGAGGUCAUAAUUCUCCAUUCCAAGGGAACUUCCCACCUUCCUUGGCAAACACCUGGCUUUCAAAUCAAGACAGCAGGGAAAAGAAA